rnacentral:rRNA from 1 species
GACGAACGCUGGCGGCGUGCUUAACACAUGCAAGUCGAACGCUGAAGCUCAGCUUUUGUUGGGUGGAUGAGUGGCGAACGGGUGAGUAACACGUGUGUAACCUGCCUCCUUCUUUGGGAUAACGCCCGGAAACGGGUGCUAAUACUGGAUAUUCACUGGUCUUCGCAUGGGGGUUGGUGGAAAGGGUUUUUCUGGUGGGGGAUGGGCUCGCGGCCUGUCAGCUUGUUGGUGGGGUGAUGGCCUACCAAGGCUUUGACGGGUGGCCGGCCUGAGAGGGUGAACGGGAACAUUGGGACUGAGAUACGGCCCAGACAAGUACGGGAGGCAGAAGGGGGGAAGAUUGAGCAAGGGGCGAAAGCAUAAUGCAGCGACGACGCGUGAGGGAUGGAGGCCGUCGGGUUGUGAAACGCUUUGGCUCAUGGUGAAGCCGAAACAAUGGUUGUGGUGAGGGUAGUGGGUAAAGAAGCGCCGGCUAACUACGUG